rnacentral:rRNA from 1 species
CCUACGGGAGGCUGCAGUGGGGAAUAUUGGGCAAUGGGCGCAAGCCUGACCCAGCAACGCCGCGUGAAGGAAGAAGGCUUUCGGGUUGUAAACUUCUUUUCUCAGGGACGAAGCAAGUGACGGUACCUGAGGAAUAAGCCACGGCUAACUACGUGCCAGCAGCCGCGGUAAUGCGUAGGUGGCAAGCGUUAUCCGGAUUUACUGGGUGUAAAGGGCGUGUAGGCGGGAAAGCAAGUCAAAUGUGAAAACCAUGGGCUCAACCUGUGGCCUGCAUUUGAAACUGUUUUUCUUGAGUACUGGAGAGGCAGACGGAAUUCCUAGUGUAGCGGUGAAAUGCGUAGAUAUUAGGAGGAACACCAGUGGCGAAGGCGGUCUGCUGAACAGCAACUGACGCUGAGGCGCGAAAGCGUGGGGAGCAAACAGGAUUAGAUACCCCGGUAGUC